CCUGCCCUUCAGAGGGGGACAACAGUUGGAAACGACUGCUAAUACCGCAUACGAUCUAACCUCGGCAUCGAGGAUGGAUGAAAGGUGGCCUCUAUUUAUAAGCUAUCACUGAAGGAGGGGAUUGCGUCUGAUUAGCUAGUUGGAGGGGUAACGGCCCACCAAGGCGAUGAUCAGUAGCCGGUCUGAGAGGAUGAACGGCCACAUUGGGACUGAGACACGGCCCAG
rnacentral:rRNA from 1 species